AGAGUAAAAUAGUACGUGAAAUUGUUGAAAGGGAAACGAUUGAAGCCAGUCGUACUUGCGGGCAAUCAGCCUUUUGGGUAUGAUUAUGUGGGGCGUGAGGAGUUAAUCACCCUCAUCUUUGCAUAUUUGUGCACUUUGGGUGUACUUGCUCGUGUGGUAGGUUAACAUCAAUUUUAGUCAUCAUAAAAUGGCUGGAGGAAUGUAGCUUCGAUCUCGUAUUGAAGUGUUAUAGCCUUUAGUAGAUGUGGUGAUUGGGACUGAGGAUUGCAACGAAUAUCCUUUGGGCUAUCCGUCUGAUCUCUGAAAGUCGCUUAGGUGCCGAAAGCUUGCUUACGGUCAUUUAAGUUUGACGUUCAAUAGGUUAGAACGGGAUAAAUUCGUUAAGGAUGUUGACGUAAUGGUUUUAAACGACC
rnacentral:rRNA from 1 species